rnacentral:miRNA from 1 species
UACCUCAUCGACCAGAAGGAUUUCCUUCAGGUCAAUGAGGUUGUUGUACCUCAUUGACCGGAAGGAAUCCCUUCUGGUCGAUGAGGUU